UACGUAGGCAGCAAGCGUUGUUCGGAGUUACUGGGCGUAAAGGGUGCGUAGGCGGCUUUUUAAGUUUGGUGUGAAAUCUCCCGGCUCAACUGGGAGGUGCGCCGAAUACUGAGAGGCUAGAGUGUGGGAGAGGAAAGUGGAAUCCUGGUGUAGCGGUGAAAUGCGUAGAUAUCAGGAGGAACACCGGUGGUGUAAACGGCUUUCUGGACCAUAACUGACGCUGAGGCACGAAAGCGUGGGGAGCAAACAGG
rnacentral:rRNA from 1 species